rnacentral:rRNA from 1 species
GUGCCAGCGCCGCGGUAAUACGGAGGGUGCAAGCGUUAAUCGGAAUUACUGGGCGUAAAGCGCGCGUAGGUGGUUUGAUAAGCGAGAUGUGAAAGCCCCGGGCUUAACCUGGGAACGGCAUUUCGAACUGUCAGGCUAGAGUAUGGUAGAGGGUAGUGGAAUUUCCUGUGUAGCGGUGAAAUGCGUAGAUAUAGGAAGGAACACCAGUGACGAAGGCGGCUACCUGGACCAAUACUGACACUGAGGUGCGAAAGCGUGGGGAGCAAACAGGAUUAGAAACCCCGGUAGUCC